AAAGGGACUGGGCAUUUAUUGCAUGUGUGCAGCCGGUGUGUUUCAUUGGUGUCUUUAUCAUGAUCAGCAUCUUUUAAUGCAAUAACAUUGUGCUGGUCAAUUUAGGGGGCAGUGCCACCCCAAGGUCACCACGUGAACAUGUUUACUUAAGUCUGGUGUUUGUGCGUCACUGUCUGAACAGGCUUAUAAAGAAGAACUCUCAAAGGCGCUCAAAGGCACUCAAUUUUUCUCCUCUGAGACGAAAAAAACAGGUAUGUUUUAUAUUUUACCACUUCUAAAACCGAAAAGGGAUGUGAUUCCACUUUUUUUAGAGGCAAAAAUGUACCUUAAUAACAAAGAGCAUCAAAGUAUUCUCAAAUUGCCUAUUUAUCUGAAAGUUUUGCUGUAACCUAAGCUGACUUAUAUUAUUGUUGUUAUGACGACACCUGUGUUAAACGCAGUAAACAUGGUACAAAAAACAAAUAAACAAAUUUUUAAAAAACUAAGUUUAAAUGAACUGAAUAUGAAGUUUUAAUGGUUAAUUGUACAUGAACAUUUUAACGGACGGUAUGUAAAGGGAGCUGUCCAGGGGCAGUGGUGCUGACAUAAGAAGGCGCUAAAAAAAAACAAAAAAACAAAAACUAAAUAAAGCUGCUCUUUCACUUUUGGCCAUCGUGCAAUGAAAGCAGUUUUGUGAGCACAUGAAGAAAGAUCUGUCUCUGUUCUUCGUCAGUAACAAACAGCCAAGAUGAGACUGUACCUCGCGGUUGCCGUGCUGCUGCUGGCUUUGGUCGCAUUUGCAGGUAGGUGUUGUGUUAACCAGGACUAUUAAAACCUCCCUGUUGCGUCUUUUUUCCCCCUGCUUUUCUUUCCCUUGCACGUUGUCUUACUGGAAUCGUCUUGGUUUAUUGCUUUUAUCUGCAGAGGCUCAGGAUGAUAACGUGCAGCAGAAGUUAAGCGAGUUGGGCGAACAGAUCACCGAGGUGGGAAAGAAAGCGUCUGAGAAAUUGAACGAGUUUGCUGGCAGGGCCAGGGACUGGGGCAGUGACCUGUUUGAGAAAGUGAAGGCCGGGUGGGGACAACUUACGAAUUAGACGAGGAGACUUGCCCCUGUCACCAGCCUGAACCUGCCCUCACCUCUGACAUCUGACUUCUUCACCAUUCAUGGUGGGAGGCUGAUAUGUCAACAGGACACAUUGUUCUGCAGAUUGACUUGUCCAAAUGGUUACAUUGUCUCUCUGUAAGGAUUUUUUUGUUGUUGUUGAGUGUACUGUUAAUUUGUGUAAACUGUGAAAAAAGUGCAAUAAAGACAUAAAAAGUAUUUUUAAUUACAAAUUCUUUGUCAUCGUCUCUAUUAAUGAAUAAGAACAAUGUCUGUACUCGAUUACAGCAUUUUGAAAGUCUGUUAAAUAUGUUUGACAUAAAUAAAUGAAAUUUAGUUCUCUUUGACC
ensembl:lncRNA